rnacentral:rRNA from 1 species
AACGAACGCUGGCGGCAUGCCUAACACAUGCAAGUCGAGCGAGACCUUCGGGUCUAGUGGCGCACGGGUGCGUAACGCGUGGGAACCUGCCCUUAGGUUCGGAAUAACUCCCCGAAAGGGGUGCUAAUACCGGAUAAUGUCUUCGGACCAAAGAUUUAUCGCCUUUGGAUGGGCCCGCGUUGGAUUAGCUAGUUGGUAGGGUAAAAGCCUACCAAGGCGACGAUCCAUAGCUGGUCUGAGAGGAUGAUCAGCCACACUGGGACUGAGACACGGCCCAGACUCCUACGGGAGGCAGCAGUGGGGAAUAUUGGACAAUGGGCGAAAGCCUGAUCCAGCAAUGCCGCGUGAGUGAUGAAGGCCUUAGGGUUGUAAAGCUCUUUUACCCGGGAUGAUAAGGACAGUACCGGGAGAAUAAGCUCCGGCUAACUCCGU